AUUGAACGCUGGCGGCAGGCCUAACACAUGCAAGUCGRGCGGCAGCACAGGUACUUGUACCGGGUGGCGAGCGGCGGACGGGUGAGUAAUGCCUAGGAAUCUGCCUGGUAGUGGGGGAUAACGCUCGGAAACGGACGCUAAUACCGCAUACGUCCUACGGGAGAAAGCAGGGGACCUUCGGGCCUUGCGCUAUCAGAUGAGCCUAGGUCGGAUUAGCUAGUUGGUGAGGUAAAGGCUCACCAAGGCGACGAUCCGUAACUGGUCUGAGAGGAUGAUCAGUCACACUGGAACUGAGACACGGUCCAGACUCCUACGGGAGGCAGCAGUGGGGAAUAUUGGACAAUGGGCGAAAGCCUGAUCCAGCCAUGCCGCGUGUGUGAAGAAGGUCUUCGGAUUGUAAAGCACUUUAAGUUGGGAGGAAGGGUCGUUACCUA
rnacentral:rRNA from 1 species